GCUUGCAACUUUCUUCAUGAUAUCUUCAAGAACUGAUAGGUCGUGUAGUUUAAGAAUAAUUUGUCUUGGUGGGGCUCCAGCACCUGGUCGGGCUCUCUGGACUCGAUGUGCCUGAUCAAUUUUAGGUCUCUCAGGCAGAUUAAAUGCCUGGGGUAACACAAAAUGCUGGAGUAACUCAGCGGG